ACGAACGCUGGCGGCGUGCCUAACACAUGCAAGUCGAACGGAACUUCUUUAAAGGAUUUCUUCGGAAUGAAUUUGAUUAAGUUUAGUGGCGGACGGGUGAGUAACGCGUGAGUAACCUGCCUCUAAGAGGGGAAUAACAUUCUGAAAAGAAUGCUAAUACCGCAUAAUAUAUAUUUAUCGCAUGGUAGAUAUAUCAAAGAUUUAUCGCUUAGAGAUGGACUCGCGUCCGAUUAGUUAGUUGGUGAGGUAACGGCUCACCAAGACCGCGAUCGGUAGCCGGACUGAGAGGUUGAACGGCCACAUUGGGACUGAGACACGGCCCAGACUCCUACGGGAGGCAGCAGUGGGGGAUAUUGCGCAAUGGGGGAAACCCUGACGCAGCAACGCCGCGUGAAGGAUGAAGGUCUUCGGAUUGUAAACUUCUUUUAUUAAGGACGAAGAAAGUGACGGUACUUAAUGAAUAAGCUCCGGCUAACUACGUGCCAGCAGCCGCGGUAAUACGUAGGGAGCAAGCGUUGUCCGGAUUUACUGGGUGUAAAGGGUGCGUAGGCGGCUUUGCAAGUCAGAUGUGAAAUCUAUGGGCUCAACCCAUAGCCUGCAUUUGAAACUGCAGAGCUUGAGUGAAGUAGAGGCAGGCGGAAUUCCCCGUGUAGCGGUGAAAUGCGUAGAGAUGGGGAGGAACACCAGUGGCGAAGGCGGCCUGCUGGGCUUUAACUGACGCUGAGGCACGAAAGCGUGGGUAGCAAACAGGAUUAGAUACCCUGGUAGUCCACACAGUAAACGAUGAAUACUCGCUGUUUGCGAUAUACAGUAAGCGGCCAAGCGAAAGCGUUAAGUAUUCCACCUGGGGAGUACGCCGGCAACGGUGAAACUCAAAGGAAUUGACGGGGGCCCGCACAAGCAGUGGAUUAUGUGGUUUAAUUCGACGCAACGCGAAGAACCUUACCAGGUCUUGACAUCCUACUAACGAGAUAGAGAUAUGUUAGGUGCCCUUCGGGGAAAGUAGAGACAGGUGGUGCAUGGUUGUCGUCAGCUCGUGUCGUGAGAUGUUGGGUUAAGUCCCGCAACGAGCGCAACCCUUGCUAUUAGUUGCUACGCAAGAGCACUCUAAUAGGACUGCCGUUGACAAAACGGAGGAAGGUGGGGACGACGUCAAAUCAUCAUGCCCCUUAUGACCUGGGCUACACACGUACUACAAUGGACAUAAACAGAGGGAAGCAAUACAGUGAUGUGGAGCAAACCCCUAAAAAUGUUCUCAGUUCAGAUUGCAGGCUGCAACCCGCCUGUAUGAAGAUGGAAUUGCUAGUAAUCGCAGAUCAGCAUGCUGCGGUGAAUACGUUCCCGGGCCUUGUACACACCGCCCGUCACACCAUGGGAGUUUGUAACACCCGAAGUCAGUGACCCAACCGCAAGGAGGGAGCUGCCGAAGGUGGGAUAAGCGACUGGGGUG
rnacentral:rRNA from 1 species